CCUCCCACCCGUGUUUAUUUUACCUUGUUGCUUCGGCGGGCCCGCCUUAACUGGCCGCCGGGGGGCUUACGCCCCCGGGCCCGCGCCCGCCGAAGACACCCUCGAACUCUGUCUGAAGAUUGUAGUCUGAGUGAAAAUAUAAAUUAUUUAAAACUUUCAACAACGGAUCUCUUGGUUCCGGCAUCGAUGAAGAACGCAGCGAAAUGCGAUACGUAAUGUGAAUUGCAAAUUCAGUGAAUCAUCGAGUCUUUGAACGCACAUUGCGCCCCCUGGUAUUCCGGGGGGCAUGCCUGUCCGAGCGUCAUUUCUGCCCUCAAGCACGGCUUGUGUGUUGGGCCCCGUCCUCCGAUCCCGGGGGACGGGCCCGAAAGGCAGCGGCGGCACCGCGUCCGGUCCUCGAGCGUAUGGGGCUUUGUCACCCGCUCUGUAGGCCCGGCCGGCGCUUGCCGAUCAACCCAAAUUUUUAUCCAGGUUGACCUCGGAUCAGGUAGGGAUACCCGCUGAACUUAAGCAUAUCA
rnacentral:rRNA from 1 species